CAAACUGAAGAUGGCGACCGGCGCACGGGUGAGUAACACGUAUCCAACCUGCCGAUAACUCCGGAAUAGCCUUUCGAAAGAAAGAUUAAUACCGGAUAGUAUACGAAUAUCGCAUGAUAUUUUUAUUAAAGAAUUUCGGUUAUCGAUGGGGAUGCGUCCCAUUAGUUUGUUGGCGGGGUAACGGCCCACCAAGACUACGAUGGAUAGGGGUUCUGAGAGGAAGGUCCCCCACAUUGGAACUGAGACACGGUCCAA
rnacentral:rRNA from 1 species